GAUCCUGGCUUAGGACGAACGCUGGCGGCGUGCUUAACACAUGCAAGUCGAACGAGGAUAGUUGGAAGCUUGCUUUAGCUAUUCGAGUGGCGGACGGGUGAGUAACGCGUGAGCAACCUGUCUCACACAGGGGAAUAACGCAUCGAAAGAUGUGCUAAUACCGCAUAGGACCACGGUAUCGCAUGGUACUGAGGUGAAAGGAGCAAUCCGGUGUGAGGUGGGCUCGCGUCUGAUUAGAUAGUUGGUGAGGUAACGGCCCACCAAGUCAACGAUCAGUAGCCGACCUGAGAGGGUGGUCGGCCACAUUGGGACUGAGACACGGCCCAGACUCCUACGGGAGGCAGCAGUGGGGAAUAUUGGGCAAUGGGCGAAAGCCCUGACCCAGCAACGCCGCGUGAAGGAAGAAGGUUUUCGGAUCGUAAACUUCUGUCCUUGGUGAAGAGAUAGAGACGGUAGCCAAGGAGGAAGCCCGGCUAACUACGUGCCAGCAGCGGC
rnacentral:rRNA from 1 species